rnacentral:rRNA from 1 species
GACAGAGGUGCCAAGCGUUAGGCGGAAUCACUGGGCUUAAAGCGUGUGUGAGCGGACUGGUAAGUACCUUGUGAAAUCCCACGCUUAACCGUGGAACUGCUCGGUAUACUGCCGGUCUUGAGCCACCUAGGGGCGAGCGGAACAAAUGGUGGAGCGGUGAAAUGCGUAGAUAUCAUUUGGAACGCCAAUGGUGAAAACAGCUCGCUGGGGGUGUGCUGACGCUGAGACACGAAAGCCAGGGGAGCAAACGGG